GACUUGACAUCUCCUGAAUUACUCUUAAUCGAGGAAGUCCCUUCGGGGACAGGAAGACAGGUGGUGCAUGGUUGUCGUCAGCUCGUGUCGUGAGAUGUUGGGUUAAGUCCCGCAACGAGCGCAACCCUUAUUGUUAGUUGCUACUAUUAAGUUAAGCACUCUAACGAGACUGCCGCGGUUAACGUGGAGGAAGGUGGGGAUGACGUCAAAUCAUCAUGCCCCUUAUGUCUAGGGCUACACACGUGCUACAAUGGCUGGUACAACGAGCAGCAAACCCGCGAGGGGGAGCAAAACUUGAAAGCCAGUCCCAGUUCGGAUUGUAGGCUGAAACUCGCCUACAUGAAGUUGGAGUUGCUAGUAAUCGCGAAUCAGCAUGUCGCGGUGAAUACGUUCCCGGGUCUUGUACACACCGCCCGUCACACCAUGAGAGCCGGUAACCCCCGAAGCCCGUGAGGUAACCGUAAGGAGCCAGCGGUCGAAGGUGGGAUUGGUGAUUGGGGUGAAGUCGUAACAAGGUAGCCGUAGGAGAACCUGCGGCUGGAUCACCUCCUUUCUAGGGA
rnacentral:rRNA from 1 species